AUGACCUGGUGGUGGAGAUCCUGUCUCGGCUGCCGCUUAAGUCCUUUUGCCAUUUCAGAUGUGUCUCCAAAUCUUGGCUUGCCUUCUCAUCUGAUCCGCACUACCGCCAGAAGCUCCCAAGAACUCCUGUCCGUCUCCUCUACCAAAAAGGUGAGCAUGGCACUCCCAUCCUUCUGGCGGGACUUCCCUCGAGUGAUAGGGAUAUUGAUUUUGUGCUAUGUUGAUCUCAAGCUUAAGGACUACAACAAUGGCCUACUUCUUUGUUAUCAUUGUGAUACGCACUAUAAUGAAAUUUAUGACGCUAUCGUGUGCAAUCCAGCAACUAAAGAGUGGAUUGUACUUCCAGAUAUUUGCUGUUCUCAGGUUGUGUUUUGA
rnacentral:rRNA from 1 species